GUGCCGGGUAUGUCCCAGAGUGCCAUGCGUGCCCCUCAGUGCCAGGUGUGCCCAAGAGGGCCAGGUGUGCCCUGAACCUGUCCCAGGUGUGCCCCUGAGUGCCAGGUGUGUCCCAGGACCCAUUCCAGGUGUGCCCCUGAGCCCAUCCCAGGUGUGUCCUUCAGUGCCAGGUGUGCCCCAGAGCACCAGGUGUGUCCCUGAGCCCAUCCCAGGUGUGCCCCUGAGUGCCAGGUGUGUCCCAGGACCCAUUCCAGGUGUGCCCCUGAGCCCAUUCCAGGUGUGUCCUUCAGUGCCAGGUGUGCCCCAGAGCACCAGGUGUGUCCCAGGGCCCAUCCCAGGUGUGCCCCUGAGCCCAUUCCAGGUGUGCCCCUGAGCCCAUCCCAGGUGUGCCCCUGAGUUCCAGAUGUGCCCUGAACCCAUCCCAGGUGUGUCCCAGGGCCCAUCCCAGGUGUGCCCCUCAGUCCCAGGUGUGCCCCUGAGUUCCAGGUGUGUCCCAAACCCCAGGAUCCCUCCCUUGCCACAUCCCAUUCCCCUGGAGCUGCUGCCAUUCCUGGCCCUGCUGGGAUGGAUUUCGUGGGGUUUGGGAUCCCCCUGAGCCUGCCAGGGUUUUGGG